GUCAGAUCUCAGAUUUGGCUUCAGGAAAAAGAUAGGCAGUUUAUUUGAAGGUAGCAUCCCAGUCAUAUUCAUUUUAAUGACUGUACACCACACUAUGCCAUAGGUCACUGUACCACAAAAACACCAUAUAACAGGGCUGCAAAUAAAUAUUUGACUUGACAGGACAUUUGUCCAAUCACUUUUAAUUUUGGUCGGACAUAACUUGAAUUUGGUCGGACAAAAACCAACAUUGCUACAUUUGAUCGGACAUAUAUAUGUAUAUGUCACAAGAUAUAAUAUAAGUCACGAGACAAGUAUGUAUAGCCAUUCUGGUGCAACGUUAAGUAAAAUGCUAGAAUGCCUUGUAAAUUUUAUUGCAAAAUGCAAAUUCAGUGAAUUUGCAAUCGGAUUUUGUCACAGCAAAAAAAUGUAUGUGACAAUUUUUUUUGUGAUCGGACCAAUGUCCGAUCAAAAUUACUUUUGCUCGGACAUUUGCCAAAUUUAGUCGGACAUUGUCCGAUGUCCGACAGUAAUUUGCAGCCCUGAUACUA